UAUCGUCCAGCAAAAGAUAUGGCAGCAGUUUUAGUAAGAAGAAGGACAAUGAAGCCAACACAAUUUCUAUUGGAAGGCGGAGGAGGCCUCCAAUCAGAAGAAGUCAACCAUCCCGUCCACAUUAUCAUCAAGUAUCUUCCGUAAUCCCCGUUUUCUCAACUAGUCAAUCAGUACGAGUUCAGCAGCAACAACGUCAACAACAACCACAACAACGAACAAACACCUACAACAACAAUAAUACCAACAAUCAGC
rnacentral:lncRNA from 1 species